AGAGUUUGAUUCUGGCUCAGGAUGAACGCUAGCUACAGGCUUAACACAUGCAAGUCGAGGGGCAGCAUUGGAGUAGCAAUACUCAGAUGGCGACCGGCGCACGGGUGAGUAACACGUAUCCAACCUGCCGCUUACUCGGGGAUAGCCUUUCGAAAGAAAGAUUAAUACCCGAUGGUAUAAAGAGUUCGCAUGUUCUCUUUAUUAAAGAAUUUCGGUAAGCGAUGGGGAUGCGUUCCAUUAGAUUGUUGGCGGGGUAACGGCCCACCAAGUCUACGAUGGAUAGGGGUUCUGAGAGGAAGGUCCCCCACAUUGGAACUGAGACACGGUCCAAACUCCUACGGGAGGCAGCAGUGAGGAAUAUUGGUCAAUGGACGAGAGUCUGAACCGGCCAAGUAAGCGUGAAGGAUGACUGCCCUAUGGGUUGUAAACUUCUUUUAUAAGGGAAUAAAGUGAGGGACGUGUCCCUUUUUGUAUGUACCUUAUGAAUAAGGAUCGGCUAACUCCGUGCCAGCCGCAGC
rnacentral:rRNA from 1 species